UGCCCUCAGGGGCUGCAGGGUCACUGCUUCCAUCCGCUUUCCUCCUCCUCCUCUCAAGGGAAAGGUGUGCCGACCAGGGUCUCAGAGGAGGCACGAGCGGGGGGAGCCAGGAACCUGCCCGAGAUGCUGGCUGGGGGCUGGAUGUUUAACCCUCUCCCAGGGAAGGCGGAGCGCCCGGCCUUGAGUGAUCAGGCAAGCCUGUCCCUGGGCACAGAGCCGGCAGAUUAGGUGGCUCUGGUGCCCUGGAAACGGGAGAUGGGUCAGCAGUGCCCGAGGCUGGGCAGCAACCUCCUUCCUGUCCCCUCUGAGCCUGGCCUGUGGGCUCAGCAGCUCAGCACUUUCUGCAAACCCCACACGCAGCAAACCUCCCGGCCAGGCGGUCAGCGGCACGCUUCCCGAGGGCCGGGCGGCCAGGCCGGGCUGUGAGCCUGGGACACGGCCCUCUUCCCCGGUCACCUCCCCGCCAUGCUGCCUCCUCCAGGGUCUCUGUGGUUCCCGGUCCCGCCUGCCCGGCCCGAGACCCUCCUCAAGUCCCAGGGGGAGCAAGAUGGCCAGGGCGGCCUCUUCUCCCCACUCGCUGGCUGUGCUCCUCUUUCUGCUGCAGAGAGCGGAGGGCGAGCCCCCAGGGGAGGACCCCCCAGAACCGCCUGGAGCCCAGCGGGCGGCCCGGCCCCAGGAAGCUGGAUCCGGACGACUGGCCAGAGUCUCUUGGGACGGGCAGCCCCGCUCGAGUAAGGCUUUGGCCACCUUGGCCUGGUUGUGGGGUUGUUUCUGGACCCCCAGUGGCCCCGCACUUCUGUGGGCCCUGGGUGCAGUCCCACUGGGGUUCUGUGAGGCCUGGUGGGGCCCCCGUGUGCCCUGAGGGUCACACGGGGACCCCAGGGUCACCCUGGAAGGGGAGCAGCAAUGAGUGUUCAGCCAGUGUUGUCACCUAGGGGACCCCAGGCCAAGCUGUGCGCAGGCCCCUCAGCCACCUGCACCCAGCCUCUCCGUCUCAGAUCAGGACGCAGGUUCCGGCUGCCCCCGGAUGUGGCUCGUCCUCCAGCCGUUCGGGCAGAGACACCCCCACACCCCGGCACAGCUUCCGUAGGAGGUGGUCAGCGAGGCCCCCGGGCAGGCCAUCUCCACGGCCCCAGGACCCCUUGAGCUGCUGACCCUCUGCUGCCGUGGGAGACGGGAAGGAAGUGGAAGCUUCCAGGAGGAUGGGGAAGGGGGUGUGGCUGGGAGGGUGGGGCGAGAGCGUGUAAUGGCACGGGUGGAGGGUCUUCCGUGGGGACAAGGGCGCUGGGGAAAGAGACAGGGUUUGGGGGAGCGCGAGGAGGAUGGGCGGGGCCUUGGGGAAGAGGUCGGACCACCAGGCGGAGGGCUGUCGGGCUCGGGAGGAUGGAGCCCCCAUGGCCGGAGGCGAGGGCCUCCUCGCGGCCACCCUUAGGGGAGAGGCCCUAAAGGCCGGGCGGGGAGGACGGGCAGAGCAGGGUCCGUCCGGGGAGCAUGAUCUCCCUUCUCUGGGGGAAGCUAGGCGGGCACCAUUUUGUGCCAUGAGGAGACAGGACACAGAACGCAGCGACGUGCCUGCGUCUUGGAGGCUGUCAGGGCAGAGCAGGGGGGUGUGGGUGGGGCCGAGAGGCCUGGACCACAUUCUGCCGCCUGGCUGCCCCACCUGGAGGCUGGCGCAUCUUGGGAAGACGCAGGGAGCAGGGAGGGAGAAGGGGCUCUGGAGGGCUCUGUGUCCAGAGCUGGCCGCAGCCCUCACCAGGCGGAGGGUGGGGUGCGGGGGACAGGGGUCCAGGGGCCGUACCCCCCGGAUGAAGGGAACCUUGUCCCUCGGGGCCAAGAAGAAGCCCUGCCUGGCCCAGGAGUGUUGAAAUGACUCAGCCCACAGAGUGGGUAGAGACACGGAGACGAUGACGCCAGGGCCGGACAGGCGCCCAUCUCUCAGGCCCGCCCGUGAAGAGGCCACCCCGCCCGCCUCCCGGCCGCCACCCGGCUGCCGCCUUGCACAUUCCUGUGGUCACCCAGGAGGGCUCCAGGACGAGGGGAUGGGGACGCCGAGGGACCCCCGGCUUGGGUGCGCGAGCCCGUCCCUGGGGCCCCGGGCCCCUGGCUCUGUCACCUGCUGCCGGCUUCCUGGGCUGCAGGGAGGGGCCUUCCCAGGGCGAGGACGGUGAGGAAGGCACUCUGCCCCCUUCCGCCUGUCAGAGGUGGGGCCUCGAUGGCGGCUUUAACGACACGUGUACUCCAGAUCAGCUUCGGGGAGUGGUGGCAGAGGGACCGCAGGUGACAAGGAAGGACCAGGAUCUGAUGCCCCUUCCCCCACCCCGCUCCCUUUCUUCUGGCCCAUUCCCAGGAUGGGCUCUGCCUCCCAUUCACCUCCCUCUGGGCUCCGGGGUGGACCCAGUUCAGUUCCACUCUGGCAAAGCCCCCAAGGUGCUAGCCCAGAGGGGCGGGGGCAGGGCAGCGCCCC